rnacentral:ncRNA from 1 species
GUUCGGGAGCUUGUCAUUGGGACGGCAGGCAUGAAUGGAACCCUCCCCCUGUUUCGCAAGCGGCGUGCUGCCGAAGCCCCGGCGGCUGGCGC